rnacentral:lncRNA from 1 species
AAGCUACAAAAAGUCCCGAAAAAAAACCCGAAGCCAUCGAACAAGUGAAAGAAGAACCCGUUCCCGACAUGAACGAAAUCAAAGCUUUACCAGCACCGGAGAUUCAUACUCCACCACCACCACCGCCACCUCCGGUGGCGGCUCCGCCGCCCAAACCGCAACACACCGGCGACUUAGUCGACUUACGGGAGGAAUCGGUGACAGCCGAUGACCAAGGAAAUAGAUUCGCGUUGGCUUUGUUCGCCGGUCCGGCGAAAGGUAACGGAAACUGGGAGGCGUUUGGCGGCAGCGGCGAGGCG